GAUGAAGAACGUAGCGAAAUGCGAUACGUAAUGUGAAUUGCAGAAUUCAGUGAAUCAUCGAAUCUUUGGACGCAUAUUGCGCUCUUUGGUAUUCCGAAGAGCAUGCUUGUUUGAGUAUCAGUAAACACCUCAACCUCUUCUUGAUUUUUCAAAAGGAGGGUGGACUUGAGCUAUCCCAACAACCUUUACCGGUCGGCGGGCGGCUUGAAAUGCAGGUGCAGCUGGACUUUUAUCUGAGCUAAAAGCAUAUCUAUUUAGUCCUCGUCAAACAGGAUUAUUACUUUUGCUGCAGCUAACAUAAAGGAUAAUUGUCCUCUUUGCUGACUGAUGCAGGAUUUUACGACACUUUAUGUGUUGUUCAACUCGAUCUCAAAUCAAGUAAGACUACCCGCUGAACUUAAGCAUAUCAAUAAGCGGAGGA
rnacentral:misc_RNA from 1 species